AUCANCUUUCGAUGGUAGGAUAGAGGCCUACCAUGGUGGUAACGGGUAACGGGGUGUUAGGGCACGACACCGGAGAGGGAGCCUGAGAAACGGCUACCACAUCCANGGAUGGCAGCAGGCGCGCAAAUUACCCAAUCCCGACACGGGGAGGUAGUGACAAUAAAUAACAAUACGGGGUUCUUUCGGAUCUCGUAAUUGGAAUGAGUACAAUUUAAAUCUCUUAACGAGGAACAAUUGGAGGGCAAGUCUGGUGCCAGCAGCCGCGGUAAUUCCAGCUCCAAUAGCGUAUAUUAAAGUUGUUGCAGUUAAAAAGCUCGUAGUUGAAUUUCGGGGUUAGUAGGUUGGUCAUGCCUCUGGUAUGUACUGGUCUCACUGAUUCCUCCUUCCUGAUGAACCGUAAUGCCAUUAAUUUGGUGUUGCGGGGAAUUUGGACUGUUACUUUGAAAAAAUUAGAGUGUUUAAAGCAAACUAACGCUUGAAUACAUUAGCAUGGAAUAAUGAAAUAGGACGUUCGAUCCUAUUUUGUUGGUUUCUAGGAUUGACGUAAUGAUUAAUAGGGAUAGUUGGGGGCAUUAGUAUUCAAUUGUCAGAGGUGAAAUUCUUGGAUUUAUUGAAGACUAACUACUGCGAAAGCAUUUGCCAAGGAUGUUUUCAUUAAUCAAGAACGAAAGUUAGGGGAUCGAAGACGAUCAGAUACCGUCGUAGUCUUAACCAUAAACUAUGCCGACUAGGGAUCGGAUGAUGUUAAUUUUUUAAUGACUCAUUCGGCGCCUUACGGGAAACCAAAGUGUUUGGGUUC
rnacentral:rRNA from 1 species